AGCUGUUUUGGGCGUUGAAACUGA
rnacentral:siRNA from 1 species